GUAUCUCUCCAUAGCCUUACAUGUUGGUAAAAAUUAAAUAUGAAUAAAAAUUAUUCAAAUCUAAAAGUAAAAUUUGAGUAUUACAAAUAAUCAACGUCAACUAUCGAUAAAUCAAGAUCAUAGUGCACUACUACAAAAAAUACCGAACAUAUGACUAAAGGUAAAAGGUAACCUUUUGGUCAACAAAAAUAGGAACAAAAACGUCGCAAAAAGAAACAAACAAUAUCAACCACACUAAU
rnacentral:lncRNA from 1 species